UGGACAGGUGGUGCAUGGUUCGUCGUCAGCUCGUGUCGUGAGAUGUUGGGUUAAGUCCCGCAACGAGCGCAACCCUCGACCUUAGUUGCCAGCAUUCAGUUGGGCACUCUAAGGUGACUGCCGGCUAAAAGUCGGAGGAAGGUGGGGAUGACGUCAAAUCAUCAUGCCCCUUAUGACCUGGGCUACACACGUGCUACAAUGGGCGGUACAAAGGGUCGCGAACCCGCGAGGGGGAGCCAAUCCCAAAAAGCCGCUCUCAGUUCGGAUUGCAGGCUGCAACUCGCCUGCAUGAAGCCGGAAUCGCUAGUAAUCGCGGAUCAGCAUGCCGCGGUGAAUACGUUCCCGGGCCUU
rnacentral:rRNA from 1 species